AUGGAGUUUGUGCUGAGCUGGGUUUUCCUGGUUGCUCUUUUGAAAGGUGUCCAGGGUGAGGUACAGCUGGUGGAGUCCGGGGGCGGCUUGUCAAAGCCUGGGGGGUCCCUGAGACUCUCCUGCGCAGCCUCUGGAUUCACAUUCAGUGACUACAACAUGCACUGGGUCCGCCAGGCUUCAGGGAAGGGGCUGGAGUGGGUCUCAGGUAUUAGUAAUGAUGGGGGUAGCACAUGGUACGCAGACUCCGUGAAGGGCAGAUUCACCAUCUCCAGAGAGAACGCCAAGAACACACUGUAUCUUCAAAUGAACAGCCUGAGAGCUGAGGACACGGCUGUGUAUUACUGUGCGGGAGACACA